rnacentral:sRNA from 2 species
ACGAGUCAUGAGGCAAUCGGGGGCAGGGACGGGGGAACCAUCAUCGGUCCUCGACCGGCACGCCGUACUGCGGCGCCCGGGACGUGAGGACCUUGGGGUGAAGCCGCCAGUGUGCGGCCGGGCAACCUUCGCGCCCGAAUCCGACAGCUAACCUCGCAGGCGUGCCGGAGGGAUUCC